UACGAAGGGGGCUAGCGUUGUUCGGAAUUACUGGGCGUAAAGCGCACGUAGGCGGAUACUUAAGUCAGGGGUGAAAUCCCGGGGCUCAACCCCGGAACUGCCUCUGAUACUGGGUAUCUCGAGUCCGGAAGAGGUGAGUGGAAUUCCGAGUGUAGAGGUGAAAUUCGUAGAUAUUCGGAGGAACACCAGUGGCGAAGGCGGCUCACUGGUCCGGUACUGACGCUGAGGUGCGAAAGCGUGGGGAGCAAACAGG
rnacentral:rRNA from 1 species